rnacentral:tRNA from 1 species
GGUAUUAUACUUUAAGAAAAAGGCUUGUUUUGCGUGUAAGUAAUGAAUUUAUAUUCUAGUACCA